rnacentral:rRNA from 1 species
CUACGGGGUGCUGCAGUGAGGAAUAUUGCACAAUGGGGGGAACCCUGACGCAGCAACGCCGCGUGAGUGAUGAAGGCUUUCGGGUCGUAAAGCUCUGUCAAGUGGGAAGAACCUAUGCAGUGUUAAUAUCACUGUAUACUGACGGUACCACUGAAGGAAGCACCGGCUAACUCCGUGCCAGCAGCCGCGGUAAUACGGGGGGUGCAAGCGUUAUUCGGAAUCAUUGGGCGUAAAGGGCACGUAGGCGGCUUGGUAAGUCAGAUGUGAAAGCCCGGGGCUUAACCCCGGAAGUGCAUUUGAUACUGUCAGGCUUGAGUAUGGGAGAGGGAAGUGGAAUUCCUGGUGUAGAGGUGAAAUUCGUAGAUAUCAGGAGGAACACCGGUGGCGAAGGCGACUUCCUGGACCAAUACUGACGCUGAGGUGCGAAGGCGUGGGUAGCAAACAGGAUUAGAUACCCCAGUAGUC